GAAAUGCGAUAAGUAAUGUGAAUUGCAGAAUUCAGUGAAUCAUCGAAUCUUUGAACGCACAUUGCGCCCGCCAGUAUUCUGGCGGGCAUGCCUGUUCGAGCGUCAUUACAACCCUCAGGCCCCCGGGCCUGGCGUUGGGGAUCGGCGGAAGCCCCCUGCGGGCACAACGCCGUCCCCCAAAUACAGUGGCGGUCCCGCCGCAGCUUCCAUUGCGUAGUAGCUAACACCUCGCAACUGGAGAGCGGCGCGGCCACGCCGUAAAACACCCAACUUCUGAAUGUUGACCUCGAAUCAGGCAAGAUUACCCACUGAAUUUAAGC
rnacentral:misc_RNA from 1 species